CCCAUUAAAUGUUGAUAAGAAUGGUUCAUUUCCUACUGCAACAUACCUUCAAGGGGGGGAAACAAUUAUUCAGCAAAGUAAAAGACAGGGCAGUUCUUGAAAUGAAGCCUGCAGAGUGUAUUGCUUGCAAGAAGAGCAAGGUACAUAUAAAGUACAGGAGGAGAGGUGGUUUGCUCUUGAAGAAAACAGAUUUGCAGCUUUUAAAAGAUAGAUAGAUGGUCAGUCUUGGAAACUGGACAAUAAUAUCAUCUGUGACUGUGGGUGAAAGAAGAUACCAACACAGAAGAGGCAAGAAAGCUAUACUGUUAUUGUUUCUAAAAACAAGAAAAAGAAUUAAGCACUUGGGAACUUUACACCUCAGAAAGCUAAGAGCACAAUGUUUUGUUGAGAAAACCAAUCUUGCUAAGGAAUACAAAAGAAAAAGAAGUAAAGCUAACUAAAGGGUCAUUUCUAGAGGAUCUCAGCAUUAGCCUCAUAUCAUAUAAAUAUAAUUGACAGGGCAAAGUGGAGCACCAAACGUAUGCUGAAGGUGACAAACAAUUUCUUCUUCACUUCACAAGCUAAGUGGACACGUAAUACAGUUUAUACUUCGAACAAGCAUUAAAUAAUGCAGACACAUUAUUUGAA